ACGAACGCUGGCGGCGUGCCUAAUACAUGCAAGUCGAGCGGAGUUAUUCCUUCGGGGAUAGCUUAGCGGCGGACGGGUGAGUAACACGUAGGCAACCUGCCUGCAAGAUCGGGAUAACAUUCGGAAACGGAUGCUAAUACCGGAUAAUCAGUUUCUCUGCAUGGAGAGACUGGGAAAGACGGCGCAAGCUGUCACUUGCAGAUGGGCCUGCGGUGCAUUAGCUAGUUGGUGGGGUAACGGCUCACCAAGGCGACGAUGCAUAGCCG
rnacentral:rRNA from 1 species